GUGCUCGUUUGGGGAGCACACAUACUGAAAUUGGAAUCAUACAGAGAUUAGUAUGGCCCCAUAUGAGGAUGAUAUGAACAUUCAUGAAGCCUUCUUGAAUACUUUU